rnacentral:rRNA from 1 species
UACGUAGGGGGCAAGCGUUGUCCGGAUUUAUUGGGCGUAAAGAGCGUGUAGGCGGCCAGUCAGGUCCGUUGUGAAAACUCGAGGCUCAACCUCGAGACGCCGGUGGAAACCAUCUAGCUAGAGUCCGGAAGAGGAGAGUGGAAUUCCUGGUGUAGCGGUGAAAUGCGUAGAUAUCUGGAGGAACACCGGUGGCGAAGGCGGCAUCCUGGACCAACACUGACGCUGAUGAGCGAAAGCCAGGGGAGCAAACGGG